rnacentral:rRNA from 1 species
GACGUAGGGUGCGAGCGUUGUCCGGAUUUAUUGGGCGUAAAGAGCUCGUAGGCGGCUUGUUACGUCGCUGUGAAAACCCGCGGCUCAACCGCGGGCCCUGCAGCCCGGAUACGGGCUAGCUAGAGUGGUGGUAGGGGAGAUCGGAAUUCCUGGUGUAGCGGUGAAAAUGCGCAGAUAUCAGGAGGAACACCGGUGGCGAAGGCGGGAUCUCUGGGGCCAUUACUGACGCUGGAGGAGCGAA